rnacentral:rRNA from 1 species
GGCAAGGGGGUCCGGCUACCUGCAGUCGACGAUGAUGCCCAGCUUGCUGGGCGGAUUAGUGGCGAACGGGUGAGUAAUACGUGAGUAACCUGCCCUUGACUCUGGGAUAAGCCUGGGAAACUGGGUCUAAUACUGGAUACUACCUCUUGCCGCAUGGUGGGUGGUGGAAAGGGUUUUACUGGUUUUGGAUGGGCUCACGGCCUAUCAGCUUGUUGGUGGGGUAAUGGCUCACCAAGGCGACGACGGGUAGCCGGCCUGAGAGGGUGACCGGCCACACUGGGACUGAGACACGGCCCAGACUCCUACGGGAGGCAGCAGUGGGGAAUAUUGCACAAUGGGCGGAAGCCUGAUGCAGCGACGCCGCGUGAGGGAUGACGGCCUUCGGGUUGUAAACCUCUUUCAGUAGGGAAGAAGCGAGAGUGACGGUACCUGCAGAAGAAGCGCCGGCUAACUACGUGCCAGCAGCCGCGGUAAUACGUAGGGCGCAAGCGUUGUCCGGAAUUAUUGGGCGUAAAGAGCUCGUAGGCGGUUUGUCGCGUCUGCUGUGAAAGCCCGGGGCUCAACCCCGGGUCUGCAGUGGGUACGGGCAGACUAGAGUGCAGUAGGGGAGACUGGAAUUCCUGGUGUAGCGGUGAAAUGCGCAGAUAUCAGGAGGAACACCGAUGGCGAAGGCAGGUCUCUGGGCUGUUACUGACGCUGAGGAGCGAAAGCAUGGGGAGCGAACAGGAUUAGAUACCCUGGUAGUCCAUGCCGUAAACGUUGGGCACUAGGUGUGGGGGACAUUCCACGUUUUCCGCGCC